GUGAAGAAAGUCAUUGGUAAAUGCUAUGGGUGUAAACGAUUUUACACAACGCCGAUGCCCGCUCCACCUCAGGGGAAUCUUCCAAAAGAACGAACUGAAGGUGAAAUCCCCUUCGAAGUAACUGGUGUCGAUUAUGCCGGACCAAUCUAUUACAAGGGAAAUGGGGGAGCUGAGCGUAAGUCGUAUAUACUCAUCUAUACCUGCAGUUUAACUAGAGGACUUCACUUGGAGAUUCUGCCAAACAUGAGCUGUGAAGAGUUCCUGAUGAGUUUUAAAAGAUUUAUCUAAGCAAGAGGUCGUCCGAAGAAGAUCAUAUCCGAUAAUGGAAAGACUUUCGUGGCUGCUGCCAAAUGGAUCAAGAAAGUCGUACUGAACGAAAAGUUACAAGGCUAUCUGAGUGAACAUGGUGUGAAAUGGCAGUUCAAUCUAAGCAAAGCUAGCUGGUGGGGUGGAAUGUUCGAACGAAUGGUCAGCAUAGUGAAACAAGCUCUUUACAAGGUCGUAGGAUCGGCCAAACUUACCUUCAAAGAAUUGCAAGACGUGAUGCUAGAUAUCCAGCUCGUAUUGAACAAUCGACCACUAUCGUACUGCGAGGAUGACAUUCAACUUCCCGUGUUGACGCCGAACAUGAUGAUCUUCGGUAAAGCCAAUUAUCUUAUGGAGUUAUCACCUGAGGAUAUAGAAGAACGAGACCUGCGAAAAAGGGCGAGAUAUUUGAAGAAAUGUAAGGACGCGUUAUGGCAACGAUGGAAACGAGAAUACAUGAGAGCACUUCGCGAAAGGCAUAAUUUAACACAUGACGGGAAAGAGAGAGAGCUACGAAAGGGUGAUGUUAUGUUAAUCAAAGGUGAUGAAAAUUGGGAUUGUUGAACAACUUAUACCCGGAAGAGACGGAGUGGUUCGUGGAGUUAGACUACGUGCAGGAAAAUCAUUCAUGGAAAGACCAAUACAAUUUCUUUACCCUUUGGAAUUGCAUUGUGAUAGAGAAAGUAAUCAAGAAACUGUUCCAUUGAAUCCUGUUGCAAAGGAGUUCAAACCGAAGCGUAGAGCGGCUGUCGAUGCAAGGAAGAACAUUGAACUAAUUUAUGAUCAGGAAGAGGAAGAACUGUGAUGGGUAGAGACGGUGAAUACGUGUAGACGUUCGUGUGUAUAUAAGACAGAUAAGUUAUAUUUAAAACUUACGUUCUAAAUAGGGGGAGUGUGUCGGGGAAAAAGUUGACAUUAAUAAUUAGUAGUUAAAUUUAGAGAUGAGGUGACUGCCAUAUAUGGAAUUGAUUGACAGGCAUGAGAUAAAAGGAAUGUUGUUAAUUGUUAUUGCAUGGGAAUAUAUGUAACUGGGAGCGAUUUGGGAAGGGAUUAUAAUACAAAACACAAGAUAAACGCGUAAUUUUGCUCUUAUUGUGGGGAUCGAACGAAAAUCUACCACAUU